rnacentral:misc_RNA from 1 species
UCUUCCAGUGUAACACAACCAUCGCUUCUACCAACCACAAUUUUGGCAUGUUCCGGCUCUGAGACUUCCAUUUAAUUUUGCAUUUGACUGUGGGGUGAAGGGUCAUCCAAGGAGGAGGAAGAAGCCUUGGACUUCUCAUUCAACAUCUUUCUUCUUCUCUUAAGCAAUUCACGGUGUCGCCUCCGAAUCUCAAGUUGCAGUUCGAAAGUUUCGCUGUUUUUGAACCUACUACACGGUAUCCUCGAGUUGUGGGAUGAGUAUGCGAUCUCCAGUGCACUGGACGCUGUAUGCUGCG